GGAAUGAAUUGGGGAGGACCUGCACUCAGCCUGGGCUCAGUUGGCUGGUGGACAUGCAGCCCCUCAGAUGGACCUGGUUCCUGAGAGGUGACUAUGAAGGCUCUCGCCAAACCAAGGAGCCGCGAGAGAGCUGCUUGGCUGGCCCAAGACCUUUUGGCACCUGAGGCAAACCACAAAAUGCCCCCCACCCCCAGGGAAGAUGGGCAGAGUGAAGAUCUACUUUAGGAACAAGGGAGGGAAUCAAAUCAACUUUACCCAAUGGUUGAACUGGGAAUCAAAGGCUGUCAUGGGCUGAAUCGGGCCUGCUCCAAAUCAUGCCGGGUGAGUGAAGACCCCAGGAGAUCCCAGAGGGCACCCUCCCAUCAUUUCCUCCCUGAGGGCUUGGAAGCAGUGGCCCCUAUUCAUCGAGAGACCGCUGUGGAGACUGCAUGGAGGGGGCUGCCGAGGAUGCAACCGGGGCCAGAUUUAGGUUUGAUGAGCUACUGAAGGCAAUGGGGCCCUUUAUAUGUCCAGCUGUCCUUUGUCAACAAAUUGUCACUGUUAUUUUUGUGUUGAAUAUAUGCUAUAUGGUAAUUUAUGGACCUAAUAGGUAUCUAAAGCCAUUUGCACAUAGCAAAAUAUGUAUUUUAUCAAAGUAAUUGUUGAACUGAAAUAUAAUUAAGAAGAAGUAUAUUAAUAGUGAAUUGGGGGGGCAAGAGAGUGGGGUCCUAAGCUAUAGCUUGUUUAGCUUAUAUGUAAAUCUGGCAAUGGAUGCAACAGAUCCAGCUGCGGUUGGGGCCACAGAGACAGCAGUGCUUGAUGUGUUGCUGGAUCCCUCCCCAGUGGAUCCUGGCAGUGGAUCCCCCCCACUGAAUCCUCACAUUGCCUCAUGGGUGGGCCAGCCCUGCUGCUCAGGGAAAGAUUCUUGAUGGCUUUAAUUUGGCCACUUAAGGAAGGAGAGAGAAAGCUGCUCUAAUGAACUGUGCUUUGGAAGGAAAUAUUCAGUAAACAGGUCACCCGGAGGAGCCAUUUGAAGGGCUUGAGAUCAAUGGGCUCCACUUACUUUCUCUUUAAAGGCUAGGAUGAAGGAAGAAAAAACACCCCCACUGUCUCUUCACAUAUGUUGCUUCACAGGGUGUGGGUGUGGGUGUGUUCUUGGCCAACCUCAGGGCUAUUUCCCCAUGACUUCCUUCCAAGGCGAUCUAAAUUGCUUAACGCACAUUUCAAAAGUUUGCCACUCCCAGUCAGUCUUUAUUUCUCCUUUUGGGGGGGGCUUUUUAUGGAGUGAACUUUGUUAUGGGGAAGUUAUGCCUAUAAAAAUGCACCCGGCAUAACAGAAACGGGGGAAAUGUUGUUGCCUUGGUGACUAUACGGUGACCUUAACAAAGAACACAACUGCUGUUUGAAUAAUAGCCUGGAGAGUAAUCUAAAUCAAAUGAUUUGCUGGGCUAAACUUAAUGACUUUUCUGUUAGGAGAAACUACACAAAUGUGCGAUUCAAGGAUAUAAAAGAGUGGCUUUUCUUUUGAACUAUCACAUUUAGCUAUAUUCCCUUGGCAUUAUGGAAUUAGUGGAGACAAUUUCUGCAUCUCAGAGAAGAUAGUUCAGGCCUUUUCCUCCAGCAAUAAAUCUGUCUACAGAAUAAUGGUUUAACUUUUCAUGGGAAGACCUUUAAAAGACUCAUCCUAAGGUAAUGUUAUGAGUUUGUGGGGGAGGAAGUCGGCAGCAUGAGAGGCCUUCUAACCCCUGGAUCCAGCAAGUGAUAAAAUAAAAGCCAGGAUAGCUUCCUGUUUUGAGAUGAUCGCCUGGGUGAUGGUCCAUUAAAUGAAACAAAGGAAAGGGGCUCUGUGUGAGAUGUCAAAUGGGUGAGGCUCCUCCCUCAACUCAUAGAUAGUUAGAAGGACAAAGCAGCGCAGGCCUUUUUCUCUGUUUUGGCUUCUUGACCACUCUUCUUGUGGUUGUUUUGUUAGCUUUCUGCCUUGCCUCUUCCUUGCCCUCACUUACGUGGGGGCAUCCUGUAAGUGCAUGCAGGAUAGCAGUCUGCAAGCCCAUUUCCUCAAAAGUAAAGAGCCACUGACCUCAAUGGGGCUUACGUCUUUGCAAGUGGCUAGUUGGGCUUGUGAGCUGUUAUGGUGACCUCACUGAUGCGGGAGCAAGCCCCCUCUGAGUAAAUGUGCAUGGCUUGGAGCCCAUGAGGUCUGGCAUUCAGCCCUCCCGUUCCUCUUUUCCAGGAGGGGCCCGUCCCGUUUCACCGCCUGAGGCGAAACGGGAAGGUGCUGCCCCGCCAUUGCUCCUCCACCAAACCCUCACUUACUGGAGUUGCGCUGCGGCAACAGCUUCUGGAAAGAUCUCACAAGACCUUGUGGAGCUCUCAUGAGAUCUUGUCAGAAGUUGCCGCCAUGGCUUUUCUGGCGGUAGUGGAAAGGGUAGGUGGGUUGUCCACAGGGGGUCUUGCUUGCAGGAUUCCACCAUUUGAGGUGGUUGGCCCAGUCCACCUCAUGGGCUGGCCGGCUUGCUCCUUUCUGCAGAACCAGGGCAGGUUCAAUUCCAACCACUGAUAGGAAACAGGCCUUGUGCAACAGCCUUUGAGAAUGUGGGGGAAUGUUGCUCAUCCUCCUUUCUGGAGCUCCCUGUGGCACCUUGGCCAGAAGAUCGUCUGCUGGCAGACAGGCUCCUCCCCGGUCACCUCUUGGCUCCCUCGCACACAUGCCUGCGAAGCUCUUCCUCCAUUGCCAGCUGUGCAGGAGCUCAAGAGUGUUGACCGGUGGGAGGGCCGGCCCUAACCUGGGCACUGGGGGCAAAUCAGUCAUCCGGGCAAAAUGUCUCAGACAGAAGUAAAGCUGUCACAAGUUCUCUCUUAUUUACAAGAAGUAGCUGGGUUUUAGAGAAGUAGAAACCUAGUUUUGUAAGCCAGGAGUGUCAAAGGAAGGAGAAUUCUGACAGGACUUGUUGCUGUUCAAUGUAGGGGAGGUGGGGAUUAAUAGGACUUUAGCCUAUAUUUCAACUUAAGUACGAGAAAUUGGCUCAUAUUGGGGCAGGACAGUCCUUGAGAUCAUGGACUAUGCCAGGGAGUAGAAAUUUGUGAUCUUUCCCAUGUUGUUGGACACCAGUGCCCAUCACCCCUGAGCAUUGGCCAUGCUGGCUGGAGUUGAUGGGAGUUGGAGUCAAACACCAUCUCGAGGCCACCAUGUUGUUUUGUUUCUGGGUAAUAGAGGAGGUCUGAUGGGACCCUUCAGCCUCGAAGGCUGAAUUGAACCUCCAGUGACCAUUCACUUACCUCUGUGGCAGGAUAAACAUAUCACAUUCUCUUUGGAUUGGCAAGUGUUGCUUCUGUCCUGAUUCAUAUCUUCUGGCCCACAGAUCUGCCUGAGUUUCAAAUGAUGGCACCGUGCCUCAUCGUGAACAACAACAAUUGUUCAGACCCAGCCAAAUCCGUUGAAAAAUGAAAAUGUUCAUUCUUCUACUUGUUCUUGUGGCAACUGUGCAAGCCAGGAAGAAUAUGAGUGGAGAACCACAAGACGGUGUCCGACCAGGUGACAGCAUGAUAGCCCUUCUGUGAAGCAGAGUGGGUCACCUGCCUCACUUGCCUUGCCACAGAUACCCUCAGGCUAGCCUGCUUCCUUGGCUAUGGCGGAUGACGUAGUCUUGUCACGAAAGCUGAAAUAGGAUUCAACAGGAGUACUGUACUGUGUCCAGUUCUGGGCACCACAGUUCAAGAAGGACACUGACAAACUGGAAUGUGUCCAGAGGAGGGCAACCAAAAUGGUCAAAGGCCUGGAAACGAUGCCUUAUGAGGAACGGCUAAGGGAGCUGGGCAUGUUUAGCCUGGAGAAGAGGAGGUUAAGGGGUGAUAUGAUAGCCAUGUUCAAAUAUAGAAAAGGAUGUCACAUAGAAGAGGGAGAAAGGUUGUUUUCUGCUGCUCCAGAGAAGCGGACACGGAGCAAUGGAUCCAAACUACAAGAAAGAAGAUUCCACCUAAACAUUAGGAAGAACUUCCUGACAGUAAGAGCUGUUCGACAGUGGAAUUUGCUGCCAAGGAGUGUGGUGGAGUCUCCUUCUUUGGAGGUCUUUAAGCAGAGGCUUGACAAUCAUAUGUCAGGAGUGCUCUGAUGGUGUUUCCUGCUUGGCAGGGGGUUGGACUCGAUGGCCCUUGUGGUCUCUUCCAACUCUAUGAUUCUAUGAGCCAGUCCAGUCAACCCAACUCCUGAACAUGGACCAUCUUGUCUCAGUGAGCCAAAUGUCUUAGGCCGACCCCUGUGUCCCCUACAUUAUAAACCAUAGGUGUGAUAUUUCUACAUGCAGGGAAAUAUUUGGAGAAUCUUAAUGCAAAUGGAGGGAAUGCCAUUGUGUAGGAGCCAGAAAUUCAAAUGGUAUCUGAAAUAUACUCAGAG